UACGUAGGGGGCAAGCGUUGUCCGGAUUUAUUGGGCGUAAAGAGCGUGUAGGCGGCUUUGCAAGUCCGUUGUGAAAACUCGAGGCUCAACCUCGAGACGCCGGUGGAAACUGCAAAGCUAGAGUCCGGAAGAGGAGAGUGGAAUUCCUGGUGUAGCGGUGAAAUGCGCAGAUAUCAGGAAGAACACCCGUGGCGAAGGCAGCUCGCUGGGACGGUACUGACGCUAAGGCGCGAAAGCGUGGGGAGCGAACAGG
rnacentral:rRNA from 1 species